rnacentral:ribozyme from 1 species
UUUUUUUUUUUUUUUUUUUCCCUUUAUUUCUUUUCUUUUUUUUUUUAC